rnacentral:rRNA from 1 species
UACGUAGGGGGCAAGCGUUGUCCGGAUUUAUUGGGCGUAAAGAGCUCGUAGGUGGUUCGGUAAGUCGGAUGUGAAAUCUCCAGGCUCAACCUGGGAAUUGCAUUGGAUACUGGCAGGCUAGAGUGCGGUAGAGGAUGGCGGAAUUCCCGGUGUAGCAGUGAAAUGCGUAGAGAUCGGGAGGAACAUCUGUGGCGAAGGCGGCCAUCUGGACCAGCACUGACACUGAGGCACGAAAGCGUGGGGAGCAAACAGG